rnacentral:rRNA from 1 species
AGUGAACGCUGGCGGUAGGCCUAACACAUGCAAGUCGAACGGCAGCACAGUAAGAGCUUGCUCUUACGGGUGGCGAGUGGCGGACGGGUGAGGAAUACAUCGGAAUCUACUUUUUCGUGGGGGAUAACGUAGGGAAACUUACGCUAAUACCGCAUACGACCUACGGGUGAAAGCAGGGGAUCUUCGGACCUUGCGCGAUUGAAUGAGCCGAUGUCGGAUUAGCUAGUUGGCGGGGUAAAGGCCCACCAAGGCGACGAUCCGUAGCUGGUCUGAGAGGAUGACACGGCCAACUGGGAAAUGGAGACCGGCCCGAACCCCCACGGGGGGAAGGGGGGGGAAAUUUUGGAAAAGGGGGGAAAGCCGAAUCCGGCCAUCCCGGGGGGGGAAAGAAGGCCUUGGGGUUGAAAAGCCUUUUUGUUGGGAAAAAAAAGCGGCAGGUUAAAACCCCGUUUUUCGGAGGGAACCAAAAAAAAAAGCACCGGUAACUUUCGU